rnacentral:lncRNA from 1 species
GAGAUAGAGCUGCCAAGUUGGCGAAGAUGGCGGACGAAGCAGACAGAGCCAUGGCGGUCCUAUUAAAGCAAAGAGAAGAUAUAGCCGAACAGAUGCUUCGGGUGGCAGAAUUGCAGGACGAAGCAUCCAGCCAUGAUCAAUACGAAAGACGCAGUGGGCAUAAGGAGGAGACUCGACGAAAGGGUAAGGAGCCGAAGAGUUCCCCGCGGGUUUCUAGGGAUCAUUCUCGAAGUAGGAGAAGAUCGAGAAGCAGAACUCCCAUGGCCUCGAAGAAGGCGAUAAUGGCCGUUACUUCUCAGCAUCGAGAUGAUUAUCAACAAAGGAG